rnacentral:rRNA from 1 species
CAGUAGCCGCGGGAAUACGGAGGAUCCAAGCGUUAUCCGGAAUCAUUGGGUUUAAAGGGUCCGUAGGCGGUUUAGUAAGUCAGUGGUGAAAGCCCAUCGCUCAACGGUGGAACGGCCAUUGAUACUGCUGAACUUGAAUUAUUAGGAAGUAACUAGAAUAUGUAGUGUAGCGGUGAAAUGCUUAGAGAUUGCACGGAAUACCAAUUGCGAAGGCAGGUUACUACUAAUUGAUUGACGCUGAUGGACGAAAGCGUGGGGAGCGAACAGGAUUAGAUACCCGUGUAGUCCCUGUCUCUUAUAC